GAAAANNUUACCGCAGUCGACGAUGAAGCCCGCUUGCUGGGUGGAUUAGUGGCGAACGGGUGAGUAACACGUGAGUAACCUGCCCUUAACUCUGGGAUAAGCCUGGGAAACUGGNCUCUAAUACCGGAUAGGAGCGUCCACCGCAUGGAUGGGUGUUGGAAAAAUUUUCGGUUUUGGAUGGACUCGCGGCCUAUCAGCUU
rnacentral:rRNA from 1 species